UGCCAGCCGCCGCGGUAAUACGGAGGGGGUUAGCGUUGUUCGGAAUUACUGGGCGUAAAGCGCGCGUGGGUGGUUUGAUAAGUCAGAUGUGAAAGCCCCGGGCUUAACCUGGGAACUGCAUUUGAAACUGUCUGACUGGAGUUUGGUAGAGGGAAGUGGAAUUCCGAGUGUAGCGGUGAAAUGCGUAGAGAUUCGGAGGAACACCAAUGGCGAAGGCAACUUCCUGGACUAAAACUGACACUGAGGUGCGAAAGCGUGGGUAGCAAACAGGAUUAGAGA
rnacentral:rRNA from 1 species